AUGCUUGAUGAAUUUAAUGCUUUGCUAAAGAACAAAACUUGGAGUUUGGUUCCUCGACCUGCAGGUGUCAACGUGGUCACCGGGAAGUGGAUCUUUCGGCACAAAUUCAACCCUGACGGCUCUUUGGAGCGCUACAAGGCACGUUGGGUCCUCCGUGGUUUCACUCAACGGGAGGGCAUUGACUACACCGAGACUUUCAGCCCGGUUGUCAAGCCGGCCACUGUUCGCGUCGUUCUUAGUCUCGCCACCGCUCAAGCGUGGCCAAUUCACCAACUCGACGUGAAGAACGCCUUUUUACACGUUUAUCUCGGCGAGACAGUGUACUGUGCGCAACCUUCCGGCUUUGUCGAUCCCUCUCACCCCACGCAUGUUUGCCUUCUCCAGAAAUCUUUGUAUGGUCUCAAACAGGCUCCUCGCACCUAG
rnacentral:rRNA from 1 species